rnacentral:lncRNA from 1 species
AUGCUAGGCACAGCGACACAGGGAGGCUCUGACAGAAAAGGCGGGAACUUUCCGCUCCCCUCCCCCUCCGCCACGUGCCACCUGCCUGCCCCUACUGCGCCUGCGUGCCACCUGCCUGCCCCUGAGCGCCUGCACUCCAAGCCUCCUGGCCUGCCUUUUACUCUGGGCCUGCGCAGCUCUUCCACACACCUCCUUCCUCCACCCCUCCCUUCAGCUGGAGCCCUUGCUUUUGCCACACUCUGCAAUUGGGGUUCGGGCUCCAAACACACAUUAAGGGAUACACCACCAGCAACCAGGGGAAAGGGCACAGUCCCCACCCCCACACCUCCGACCUGGGACUGGCCUUGCCUCACAUCUAUCCCUUACAAAAAGCCCGGGUUCGGUGGAGGGAAAACAAAAAACAAAAACCUAUUUGGUAUUGACCUACAAUGCCCAAAGGAGUCCCAGUGUUCCCCUUCGCCUUCCGAAGGGGGAGACCUGUCUAAAGAAGCUUCGCCAAAAACAAAGAAAAACCCCCAAAUCACAUGGCCCGAAAUCGCCAAAGUAGUCCCCAAAGGGGAGACUUUGGUAGGUCCCCAGAAGAGCUAUUCAGCUGCUGCUGCUGCUGCUACCCUUGACAGACAACUCCCUCCCACCCCGGCAUGGACCCCCUGGGGAAGGGGGCAGCACCCUACCCAGUCUUCUCAAGGCCUCCAUCAUUUUCCUUGCCACAUUGCUGACAAGAGGCUGGCAUCCAACACCACAAGGAAGGUGAGCGGCAAUGGAUUCAUUACACUUACCUUCCAGAAGCACCUUUGUGACGGGACCUUCAUUUCACCAGGGAGGGAAGAAAGCAGGAAGGAAGGCAAGGGCAGGGAGAACAACUUUGGCAAAAACCAAAAGGAAAGAAAGGUGCAGGAGCUUCACCUACUAGCUCUACAAGAUGCAUGCCCUCCCACCCAGAGACCAUCUUCUUCCUCUCCAUUUAGGCCGACAGGAACAAGGCUUCGAUGGCAGAACAGAUUUGUGCCUUAA